ACAACAUGAGGAACUAUAUUAAAGGGUUGUUACACUAGGAAGGUUGAGGGAGUGCCCUAGAGGGAACAUAGAAUGGAAAAAAGACCUUAGGUCCUAUCAUGGCAAAGAACUGAAGAUUAAAUAACUCAGAUGAAAGACAGAGGUGAGAUAAAGAAAUCAAGCCCAGCAGAACUACAAUAUACCAACAAGCCAUCCAUGAGGGUCAACAACUGAGACACGAUGCGACGCUCCACUUCCCCAUGAGUCUGUGAAGACAGUAUGUCUGGUCAGAAGCUAGGUCAGGACCUUUUGAGUCCUCACCACCCCCUUGGGUCCAGGCUACUGGAAAAUGUUUUGGGGAGGGCUGGAAUGAUCUGGCUGGACAUGGUCGCCGAGGUAGAUCACCGUUACCCGAAGGGGUCUUCUCGUGAGUGGAAGGCUGGUCCCACUGGUGUCUUCAACUUAACCGCAAGAAGGCACUUCUGCACCCCUCGGAUGCCCCUCGGGGGACGGCCGGGCUUGCUCUCCCCGGCCAGAAGCCCAACACUCGGUCCCCGCCACCGCCCACCGCGCCUGUGGUUGGCCAGGCUGCAACACUCUCGGCCGCGGUUGGUUGUCUUCAAGAGACGGUUCCGCGGGAAACUGAAAAGAAACCCGGAACAACGAGGUGGGGAGACCAGAGGCCAGCCACGUGCCAGGGACAAACUGCUGGGUUUGCGGGGCCUCCGCGGGGGGUCAGAGUAUUGAGGCUAGUUUAGGAGGAAUGGGUCUGGGCACCAGUCUCUGGCUGCGCUCCGUCUUAGAACCAACGGCAGCCCAGGUUUCCUCCUCCUAGGCAGGAAGGCGGGCCGCGCGGUGUCUGCUGGGAGUUGUAGUACUGUAGAGAACGCCCAAGAAGAUUCCUUAUCAACUACCCCCACCCCCACCCAACCCCCCAACCCCGGAAGAAAAUGUCUCCCGAAAGCUAAGGACAGGAGACCCAAGGCCUUGGUAAUCUCAUCCUUUCUCCUUGAGAAAAACAAAAACAAAAAACGGGGACUCGGACGUUCCUACGCAGAAAGGAAGGAGAAAAAAAGGAUUUGACACUAGGUAUGUAGCAUCAACUCAAAAUUCAGAAAAGACAUACAAGAACCCCAAAUAAAAAGCUUAGAAAACAAAUCAC